rnacentral:tRNA from 3 species
CGUCGAUUAGGUUAGCGGUUAGACCAACAGACUCUAAAUCUGGGUGCCGGAGUUCGAAUCUCCGAUCGAUGACCA